CUCAUGCACACUCCCCGACCUUACACACGAUUAAAACUGAGAUGUAUUCAUAUCCACUUCAUUGUGGUUCGAACAAAGCCUUCGAACGGUUCGCGAUCAAGUGCCGGUGAACAGAGGCACUAAACGUGUCGAGUGCGGUUAGACAAAUUCCAAGCGAGAAACAAAUCCAAGCACACGCUACAUGAACUUAGACGGUGCAUGAAAACAGGUAAAGCCACUGGAAUACUCGCCUUUCACAGAUAAUAAGUGAAUCAUUCUCAAAGGUGCAAUGAAAAUCACGUGUGCGUCAACACUCACACGAUCCUAACCAUUUCGAUGUUCAUUGGGCAUAAAACGAAGUGAUACCUCGUGGCAAGACAGUGAACAGUUUCUUUCAUGUGCAUCAGAUCAAGAUAGUGACGUGAAGCAAACACAAGGCUCAAAUCAGAGCCUUUUAUGUUAGCCCGCUUCUGUUAAACCUGCGCUAGUCCGUUCUAUAGAGGCCAGUGUGCGUGAACCGUGCACCGAGAGACCAAGCUGUGAUCGCUCUGCUCAACAAGCAAAUUGUUCAACACACAAUACGGUACGAAGAUCCAAACACGGCGUAGCUGAAUUAACGCGACAGUCUCCAGGAUCGCAUGCAUCGGAGGCGCGAGACGGCUCGGAACAAAUGCAUCUGAAGUGACAAACGGGAAUGUAGAGUCAUCAGUAGGAAAGGAUCGACACCGACGUGCUACAAACAGCGGUGAUUAAUAAGUGUAGGAACCUGAGGCCGGUGUACAUGAAUCAAUAGAAUGAUAGUUAACAGGAAUGGAUUUUGAUAGUUUUAAGCAGCAUGUCACGCAUUAGUUAAGUAAGCGCAUUGCAUGAUUAGAUAGGUUUUGGUGAGUCUUUAUGAAUUGUUGGAAUUACACCAUUCGCACCAGUGAAGAUAAAUAAACCAUUACAAAUUUUGAUAUCCAUUCGAGCACGUGGUUCGAAAUGACGAAUCACAUCCAUCAAGUAUACAUGUGAAAUCUCGACACUAAAUAUCUCGUUGCGCGCCAAACAAUUUUUCAACGAUCUAGUAU